rnacentral:rRNA from 1 species
UACGGAGGGAGCUAGCGUUGUUCGGAAUUACUGGGCGUAAAGCGCGCGUAGGCGGCUUUGUAAGUUAGAGGUGAAAGCCCGGGGCUCAACCCCGGAAUUGCCUUUAAGACUGCAUCGCUUGAAUCCGGGAGAGGUGAGUGGAAUUCCGAGUGUAGAGGUGAAAUUCGUAGAUAUCGAGAGGAACACCGGCGGCGAAGGCGGCCCACUGGACAGAUACUGACGCUGAGACUCGAAAGCGUGGGGAGCAAACAGG